rnacentral:rRNA from 1 species
CCUACGGGGCGCAGCAGCCGCGGUAAUACGGAGGAUGCGAGCGUUAUCCGGAUCUAUUGGGUUUAAAGGGUGCGUAGGCGGGCUUUUAAGUCAGCGGUAAAAAUUCGGGGCUCAACCCCGUCCGGCCGUUGAAACUGGGGGCCUUGAGUGGGCGAGAAGAAGGCGGAAUGCGUGGUGUAGCGGUGAAAUGCAUAGAUAUCACGCAGAACCCCGAUUGCGAAGGCAGCCUUCCGGCGCCCUAUUGACGCUGAGGCACGAAAGUGCGGGGAUCGAACAGGAUUAGAUACCCUGGUAGUCCGCUAGAU